AGAGUUUGAUCCUGGCUCAGAUUGAACGCUGGCGGAAUGCUUUACACAUGCAAGUCGAACGGCAGCACGGGUGCUUGCACCUGGUGGCGAGUGGCGAACGGGUGAGUAAUGCACCGGAACGUACCCAGUAAUGGGGGAUAACUAUCCGAAAGGAUAGCUAAUACCGCAUACGCCCUGAGGGGGAAAGCAGGGGAUCGCAAGACCUUGCGCUGAUUGAGCGGCCGAUAUCAGAUUAGCUAGUUGGUGAGGUAAAGGCUCACCAAGGCGACGAUCUGUAGCGGGUCUGAGAGGAUGAUCCGCCACACUGGAACUGAGACACGGUCCAGACUCCUACGGGAGGCAGCAGUGGGGAAUUUUGGACAAUGGGGGCAACCCUGAUCCAGCCAUGCCGCGUGAGUGAAGAAGGCCUUCGGGUUGUAAAGCUCUUUCGGCCGGGAAGAAAUCGCAUGGGUUAAUACCCUGUGUGGAUGACGGUACCGGAAUAAGAAGCACCGGCUAACUACGUGCCAGCAGCCGCGGUAAUACGUAGGGUGCGAGCGUUAAUCGGAAUUACUGGGCGUAAAGCGUGCGCAGGCGGUUUGUUAAGAUAGGCGUGAAAUCCCCGGGCUCAACCUGGGAACUGCGUUUAUGACUGGCAGGCUAGAGUAUGGCAGAGGGGGGUGGAAUUCCACGUGUAGCAGUGAAAUGCGUAGAGAUGUGGAGGAACACCGAUGGCGAAGGCAGCCCCCUGGGCCAAUACUGACGCUCAUGCACGAAAGCGUGGGUAGCAAACAGGAUUAGAUACCCUGGUAGUCC
rnacentral:rRNA from 1 species